CGAACGGACGAGAGGAAGCUUGCUUCCUUGAGUUAGUGGCGGACGGGUGAGUAACACGUGAGCAACCUGCCUCUGAGAGAGGGAUAGCUUCUGGAAACGGAUGGUAAUACCUCAUAACAUAUUUAAAUCGCAUGAUUUGGAUAUCAAAGAAAUUCGCUCAGAGAUGGGCUCGCGUCUGAUUAGAUAGUUGGUGAGGUAACGGCUCACCAAGUCGACGAUCAGUAGCCGGACUGAGAGGUUGAACGGCCACAUUGGGACUGAGACACGGCCCAGACUCCUACGGGAGGCAGCAGUGGGGAAUAUUGCACAAUGGGGGAAACCCUGAUGCAGCGAUGCCGCGUGGAGGAAGAAGGUUUUCGGAUUGUAAACUCCUUUUAUCAGGGACGAUAAUGACGGUACCUGAAGAAAAAGCUCCGGCUAACUACGUGCCAGCAGCCGCGGUAAUACGUAGGGAGCGAGCGUUGUCCGGAAUUACUGGGUGUAAAGGGAGCGUAGGCGGGACGGCAAGUCAGAUGUGAAAACUGAGGGCUCAACCUUCAGACUGCAUUUGAAACUGCUGUUCUUGAGUGAAGUAGAGGUAAGCGGAAUUCCUAGUGUAGCGGUGAAAUGCGUAGAUAUUAGGAGGAACAUCGGUGGCGAAGGCGGCUUACUGGGCUUUUACUGACGCUGAGGCUCGAAAGCGUGGGG
rnacentral:rRNA from 1 species